rnacentral:rRNA from 1 species
AUUGAACGCUAGCGGGAUGCCUUACACAUGCAAGUCGAACGGAGUGGCGAACGGGUGAGUAAUGAAUCGGAACGUGCCCAGUAGCGGGGGAUAACUACGCGAAAGCGUAGCUAAUACCGCAUACUAUUUGAGCGGCGGAUAUCGGAUUAGCUAGUUGGUGGGUUAACGGCUCACCAAGGCGACGAUCCGUAGCUGGUUUGAGAGGACGAACAGCCACACUGGGACUGAGACACGGCCCAGACUCCUACGGGAGGCAGCAGUGGGGAAUUGUGGACAAUGGGGGAAAGCCUGAUGCAGCCAUGCCGCGUGUGCGAUGAAGGCCUUCGGGUUGUAAAGUACUUUUGGCAGGAAAGCGGUACCUGCAGAAUAAGCACCGGCUAACUACGUGCCAGCAGCCGCGGUAAUAC